UACGGGGGGAGCAAGCGUUGUUCGGAUUUACUGGGCGUAAAGGGCGCGUAGGCGGUCAGCACAAGUCAGUUGUGAAAUCUCCGGGCUUAACUCGGAAAGGUCAACUGAUACUGUGCGACUAGAGUGCAGAAGGGGCAACUGGAAUUCUCGGUGUAGCGGUGAAAUGCGUAGAUAUCGGGAGGAACAUCAGUGGCGAAGGCGGCCUUCUGGUCCAGUACUGACACUCAAGUGCGAAAGCGUGGGGAGCGAACAGG
rnacentral:rRNA from 1 species